GCCACGUGUGCCCGCAGGCCCGGGCUGCCCGGGUGAGGAGCGCCACAGCCACCAGGGCAAGAACAGAUUUGCGAUUCGGGGCGGUCCUCUGCUCUUCAGCUGUUCUGGAAGCUGAGCUAGUGAUGAUAAAAGUUAUCCCUGUCUGAAUUUGAUCUUUCCUCUGUGGAAGCGGAACUCUGAGGCUCAGUGUUAGAGACGCAAAGGUAAAGGAAUGAUUUGUUACCUGAACUAACUGUUCCCUUUCUCGGUUUCAGAGCAUGACACCGUGUCAAGAAGGGGUGAAAACACUCCCCUGGCUGGGGAGCUGAUUGACCCACAGUGCACCUUCACAAUGGAGGAAAUGGUCCUGCAGAAUCCUGGGGCUGCUGUUGCCCAAAGACAGCUUUGGCCAGAGGGCAGCUGCUGUUGGGCUUCAGGCUGA
rnacentral:lncRNA from 1 species